rnacentral:rRNA from 1 species
UAGGGAAUCUUCCGCAAUGGACGAAAGUCUGACGGAGCAACGCCGCGUGAGUGAUGAAGGCUUUCGGGUCGUAAAACUCUGUUGUUAGGGAAGAAUAAGUGCUAGUUGAAUAAGCUGGCACCUUGACGGUACCUAACCAGAAAGCCACGGCUAACUACGUGCCAGCAGCCGCGGUAAUACGUAGGUGGCAAGCGUUAUCCGGAAUUAUUGGGCGUAAAGCGCGCGCAGGUGGUUUCUUAAGUCUGAUGUGAAAGCCCACGGCUCAACCGUGGAGGGUCAUUGGAAACUGGGAGACUUGAGUGCAGAAGAGGAAAGUGGAAUUCCAUGUGUAGCGGUGAAAUGCGUAGAGAUAUGGAGGAACACCAGUGGCGAAGGCGACUUUCUGGUCUGUAACUGACACUGAGGCGCGAAAGCGUGGGGAGCAAACAGGAUUAGAUACCCCAGUAGUCCCUGAGCGGGCUGGCAAGGCGCAU